rnacentral:tRNA from 2 species
GGGUCGUUAGCUCAGUUGGUAGAGCAGUUGGCUUUUAACCAAUUGGUCGGAGGUUCGAAUCCUCCACGACCCA